GCCCGGCGCCACCGGUCAGUCGUUGGAACGCAUCCAACCGCUUAACAGGUUUGGUGCUCGGAGCGCAGAAACCGGGCAGAACGUUUUCGAGAGUGUGAUUCUUCUUUUUUUUUACAACUGUUGACCGAAGCGUCCCUCACAGCGUGCACAAUGGGCGCACUGAUUUGGCGAAUACUCGUGCUGUGUUUCAUCGCUUCCUGCUCACAGCUUCCUGUCGCGGUGGCACAAUAUCUUUCCAGCUGCAAGACACCGGGCGGUGAUGGAGAGCCGGGUACCUGUGUGCUGGUGCGCGAAUGUCCGUUCGCUCGCGCUCUGCUCAUGAAGCAGAAGCACUCGAACAACGAUAUUCGCUAUCUGGAAGCGGUACGGUGCGGUAUGCUGGAAACCAAGGCGCUGGUCUGCUGCAAUGCACCGAACAUUACCACGGACAGCAGCAGCAGCGGCAGCAUCGAAGGGCUGGUAGACGGAGAAACGAUUGACGGGUUGGUAGAGAAUCGGUUCAGCACGCCGGAGGAAAAACGUGGCCUGCUGCCGGAGGUGUGCGGUGUCGAUACGUACCGCGGGCCGAUCCGUGGCGAGCUGGCUCAGCUGUUUCAUUUCCCCUGGAAUGUGCUGAUACAGCAUCGGACGAAAGAUGGUGAGCACCGUUUCCACUGCGGCGGAUCAUUGAUCAGUGAUCGAUACGUGCUGACGGCCGCCCGCUGCAUUAUGGGCAUCAAGAAAACAUGGACAAUCGUGUCCGUAAGGGUAGGCGAAUGGAAUCUGCAAACCGAUCCAGACUGUGACAACUCCACUGCCGACGCUACCGAAUGUGCCAGCCCGGUGGAGGACAUUCCCAUCGAAAAGAUUACCGUACCCGCCAACUACACCGGUACCGGGUCGCCGGCGGUAAAGCAAGACAUCGCCCUGCUCCGGUUAGCCCGCAGGGUUGAGUUCAGUGAGUCGGUUGCACCGAUCUGUCUGCCCCUGAAUACGUCCAACUGGGUGGGCUAUAGUAGCGAGCAGGACGGGCGCUUCUACGAGAGUGGCUGGGGUAAAACGCCCGACGCUGCUGCUGGUGGUGAUAACAAAUGGAACUUUGUAUCGGUCGGUGUCGCACGGGAGGUUUGCCGCGAUCGGUACCCACACGCCAGCAUUGAUGGGGAGCAGAUUUGUGCGAUGCCUAGCAGUGAGCAGAACACGUGCCGAGGGGAUACCGGGGGGCCACUGAUGUACCAGUCCGGCACAGAUGGCGCCUGGUACCUGAUGGGUGUCGGCAGCUUCCGCAAGCAGUGUGCCAUCGUCGGCGAACCGGCAGUCUAUACGAAUGUGGCCACCUUUACCAACUGGAUCGUUGAGAAUCUGGAACCAUAGGGUGGCAAAAGGCUGGCAUGCUAGCGAACCAGUGAAUCACCUGAACGCUUUAUACACAAACAUGGUGGCUCUCUCUCUCUCUCCUUAUCAACGCUCCUCGCCUAAGCAAGGCCAACUUUAAAAGCCAACCACCAUUUUACGACCAUUUAAUGUAUCGUCAAAUGCCAGACUCGUUAAGCUAGCGCUCGGUCGCUGUCUAACAAA